AGCACUGCCAGCAAGUGUGGGGUGAGAGCUCCUCCUGGGACACCCCUUACCCUUGGGGAAGGAAUUGAGCCCCCCCAGGCUCUUCCCCGGGAGAGGACCCCCUCCUCCUUCCUCAUCAACCCCUCCUGGGGCAGGGAGCACCUCCAUCCGCAGCCCCGCCCCCGUCUGGCCCCCGAGACAGACAAGCUGAGAUGACCAUCAAGCUGGAUUUCGAGGAGUGUCUCAAGGACUCACCCCGCUUCCGAGCCUCCAUCGAGCUGGUGGAAGCCGAGGUGUCGGAGCUGGAGACCCGGCUGGAAAAGCUCCUGAAGCUGGGGAACGGCCUCCUGGAAAGCGGGCGCCAUUACGUUGCUGCUAGCCGCACCUUUGUUGCUGGCAUUUGUGACCUGGCCCGCCUGGGUCCACCAGAGCCCAUGAUGGUGGAGUGUCUGGACAAAUUCACCGAGAGCCUCAACCACAAGCUGGACAGCCACGCGGAGCUUCUAGAUGCCACCCAGCACAUGCUGCAACAGCAAAUCCAAACGCUGGUCAAGGAGGGUCUCCGGGGUUUCCGAGAAGCUCGCCGGGAUUUCUGGAGGGGGGCCGAGAGCCUGGAGGCUGCUCUCAUCCACAACGCAGAGGUCCCCAGGCGCCGGGCACAGGAGGCCGAAGAGGCUGGAGCUGCCUUGAAGAUUGCGCGGGCGGGGUACCAGGGGCGAGCCCUGGAUUAUGCACUGCAGAUCAACGUGAUUGAGGACAAGAGAAAGUUUGACGUCAUGGAGUUUGUGCUGCGUCUGGUGGAGGCCCAGGCUACCCAUUUCCAGCAGGGCCACGAGGAGCUGGACAGGCUAGCCCAGUAUCGCAGGGAGCUGGGCGCCCAGUUGCACCAGCUGGUCCUGAAUUCGGCGCGCGAGAGGAGGGACAUGGAGCAGAGACACGUGCUGCUGAAGCAGAAGGAGCUUGGUGGGGAAGAGCCACAGCCAAGCCUGAAGGAGGGGCCUGGUGGGCUGCUCAUGGAAGGCCAUCUCUUCAAGCGGGCCAGCAAUGCAUUUAAGACCUGGAGCAGACGCUGGUUCACCAUUCAGAGCAACCAACUGGUUUAUCAGAAGAAGUACAAGGACCCCGUGACCGUGGUGGUGGAUGACCUUCGCCUCUGCACAGUGAAGCUCUGCCCGGACUCAGAGAGGCGGUUUUGCUUUGAGGUCGUGUCCCCCAGCAAGUCCUGCCUCCUGCAGGCUGACUCCGAGCGCCUCCUCCAGCUGUGGGUCAGCGCUGUACAGAGCAGCAUCGCCACGGCCUUCAGCCAGGCUCGCCUCGAUGACAGCCCCCGGGGACCCGGCCAGGGCUCAGGAUACCCGGCCACAAGCUCCUCGGCUACCCUGGGCUGUGGCGGCAUGGCCCGGGGCAAGGAGCCCGGUGGAGCUGGGCAUGUGGUAGCCCAGGUGCAGGGCGUGCACGGCAAUGCACAGUGCUGUGACUGCCGGGAGCCAGCCCCGGAGUGGGCCAGCAUCAACCUGGGCGUCACCCUCUGCAUCCAAUGCUCCGGCAUCCACAGGAGCCUCGGGGUUCACUUUUCCAAAGUCCGGUCUCUGACCCUUGACUCGUGGGAGCCGGAACUGGUGAAGCUUAUGUGCGAGCUGGGGAAUGUCGUCAUCAACCAGAUCUAUGAGGCCCGCGUGGAGGCCAUGGCCGUGAAGAAGCCAGGGCCCAGCUGCUCCCGGCAGGAGAAGGAGGCCUGGAUUCAUGCCAAGUACGUGGAGAAGAAGUUCCUGACCAAGCUUCCUGAGGUUCGAGGGCGAAGAGGUGGCCGGGGGCCCCCCAGGGGUCAGCCUCCUCUGCCCCCCAAGCCUUCCGUCAGGCCCCGGCCAGGGAGCCUCAGAGCCAGGCCAGAGCCCCCCUCCGAUGACCUGGGCAGCCUCCACCCCGGGGCCCUGCUGUUUCGAGCUGCCGGGCACCCUCCAUCCCUCCCCACCAUGGCCGAUGCCCUCGCCCACGGAGCCGAUGUCAACUGGGUCAACGGCGGUCAGGAGAACGCCACUCCGCUGAUCCAGGCCACAGCUGCUAAUUCUCUUCUGGCCUGUGAGUUUCUCCUCCAGAACGGGGCGAACGUGAACCAAGCGGACAACCACGGCCGGGGGCCGCUCCACCAUGCAACCAUUCUGGGCCACACGGGGCUGGCCUGCCUGUUCCUGAAACGGGGGGCCGAUCUGGGAGCUCGGGACUCUGAAGGCAAAGACCCUCUGACGAUCGCCAUGGAAACGGCCAACGCUGACAUCGUCACCCUGUGAGGAUGCCUGGGGGUUGGGGCUAGCGCUUGCCCUACCCACCUGGGGCGGAGCCAAACGCCGGGACCCGCGUGUGGGCGGAGCUUGGAGAGCCCCGGGCCUGCUCUGGGACCUGGCCGGAGAAAGGCUGUUCCGAGUGCAGACUGGGGCGUGGAGUAGGAAGGGGGGCGGGUAGCGUCCACGGAUGGUGAGUUCGUCCCGAGUGAGGGGCUUCGUGGCUCGUGAGCGUCUUUAAGCACUGGAUCCCAGGGGAGCAGGUGAAUUUAACCACCCCAGCUCAGAGGAUGGGAGGUUGGGGUGGGGGCAGUCAAGACAAAGUCAUUCGGGCCUUAAUUCCUUCCCCUUCAGGCUACGCUUGGCAAAGA